rnacentral:rRNA from 1 species
UACGAAGGGGGCUAGCGUUGCUCGGAAUCACUGGGCGUAAAGCGCACGUAGGCGGCUUGCUAAGUCAGGGGUGAAAUCCCGGGGCUCAACCCCGGAACUGCCUUUGAUACUGAUAGUCUCGAGUCCGGAAGAGGUGAGUGGAAUUCCGAGUGUAGAGGUGAAAUUCGUAGAUAUUCGGAGGAACACCAGUGGCGAAGGCGGCUCACUGGUCCGGUACUGACGCUGAGGUGCGAAAGCGUGGGGAGCAAACAGG